rnacentral:rRNA from 1 species
CUACGGGUUGCUGCAGUGAGGAAUAUUGCACAAUGGGGGGAACCCUGAUGCAGCAACGCCGCGUGGAGGAUGACGCAUUUCGGUGUGUAAACUCCUUUUAUAUGUCAAGAAAAUGACGGUAGCAUAUGAAUAAGCACCGGCUAACUCCGUGCCAGCAGCCGCGGUAAUGACGGAGGGUGCAAGCGUUACUCGGAAUCACUGGGCGUAAAGGACGCGUAGGCGGGUUGGAAAGUCAGGUGUGAAAUCCUACAGCUUAACUGUAGAACUGCACUUGAAACUUCUAAUCUAGAGUAUGGGAGGGGGAGAUGGAAUUAGUGGUGUAGGGGUAAAAUUCGUAGAUAUCACUAGGAAUACCUAAAGCGAAGGCGAUCUCCUGGAACAUUACUGACGCUAAGGCGUGAAAGCGUGGGGAGCAAACAGGAUUAGAUACCCGAGUAGUC